CACCAGCCGACCAGUCCGUCUCUUCCCUCCGGCGCAUAAAAAGCAGAAAAGAAAAUACCCAUACCACACAGCCGCCUCCCCUCCUCCGGCGCUCGCCGCCGCCGCCUUCCUCAGCAGGUGCCGCCCAACCCACCACCGCCCAACUCUAUCCGCCUCCUCAACCUUCUCUCCGCGCCAACCCUAGAACCGCCUCUCCCCGUCCCCUCCGCAAACCCGCCCACAGCCUAAAGCCUAACUCCGGCGUACCACAACCCCAAAUGGACGCGGAUAUCGCGGGGGUCGCCUUCUUCAUUGCCAGAGAAGGAAUCUCCAAAUUCAUCCGAUGGAUCAUGCUUUGCAUAUCGCCCCAACCGGAAUCAGAUAAUUGUGAAAGUAGCGGCUGGGCGGAUCUCCCUAGCGACCUCCUGGGCCGUAUCUUGCAACUCCUCGAGCUUCCUGAAGCCUUGGCGGUCGCAGCCGUGUGCUCUUCCUGGUGCUCAGCCGCAGCGGCUGCCGGUGUUCCUCGUUCUGGUACGCCUUGGCUCGUGUCCUGGAAUAUGACUUGCGUUGAACCGAUUCAAUACGGCCCACCGCUCCAUCACAAGGACAAUACAAGGAGCACAUGCCCUGGAAUUGAGUUCCGGAACCUGCUCAGUGCCGACAAGACUUACAGGGUUAAUUUGCUCGAGGGGCGCCGGCGGCACCUCCACUGGUGUGGAGCCUCUCAUGGCUGGCUCAUCGCGGCGGAUGAACUUUCCAACCUCGUCCUCUGCGAUCCCUUCACGUUCGACAUGAUCCCACUCCCACCAAUCACUGAUUUGGGGUGCGUCAAGGGAGUAUACGAUGCCGAGGGAGGCAUUGUGGGCUAUCGCUAUGGAAAAGAUCAUCAGGGUUUUAAUCCUGCUACAGAAAUACUUGGCCAGUGGUUCUACCAAAAGGUGGUGUUGUCAUGCGAUCCAUCUUCUUCUUCCUCUCACGGUGGUGAUUACAGAGCCAUUGUCAUUCACUAUGAUGCCGAUCGGGUAUCUUUUGCAAGAGCAAGAGAGGGCCGCUGGCGACUCGCUGCGGCUCUUUCCAAAGGGGAGCGGUACGCCGAUUGUGUCUACCACGAUGGCAGGUUAUUUACGGUGACGCUGUGUGGUAUGAUUGAGAUGUGGGGUCUCAAUGCGCCGCAUGAACCAACGAAACAGGUGAUCAUCGCCGACGGGGAUAAGAAGUGCGGGAGGGUUCUUACCAGAUUCCUAGUGUCUACACCUUCUGGCAGCCUCCUGCAAAUACGAAUUCUUCGAACACGACGACAAGCUUGUUGUCCCGUUAAAAUUGAGGUAGAGAUGCUUGAAGUCCAUGUCGAAGAGGGGAAACUGGUGGGGCUGAGUUCUUCGACAGCCUUGCGUGAGCACGCUGUGUUUGUUGGGUUAAACCACUCGGCGUGUUUGCCCACUAAAGAGUUUCCGAAGCUGAGACCCAACUGUGUCUACUUCACUACACCUUUCCUGGUAAACCAUGACAAUUUUGGUCUUCGUGCUUUGCCGGGUGUAUUUAUUUACAACUUGGAAAAUCAGACAUUUGAGGAUGUUCCUCCUAGCUUUGGAUUUAGUUAUGGAGAAUAUCGGCCCUCUGCAAUUUGGUAUAUUCCGAGAAUUUGAAAGAGGGGAAAGGUCUCAUCGGAUUGUCGCCUCUCACGCAGGUGGAGUUUCACAUACAUCAUGUGAAGGAAGCUGCAGAAAUAACAAAAACCGUUGCAUUACUUGACAAGACAGGCAAGCCAAGUAAUACAGCACCACGAUUUCUUAAAUCAAAGCAGAGUGCUGUUGUAGAGGUCAAGCUAGAUGGAGCUGUCUGUGUUCAGGAAUUCUCCAAGUGCCAAGCUCUUGGGAGGGCAUUCUUAAGGUCGUCUGGAAGCACAAUCUCGCUGUUGGUAUCAUAAAUAAGAUUUUGGGGCAAGAUCAGAACUAAAAGACCUAUUCCUCUCAUGUCGAAAACCUGGACCUAGCUGCCUCCUUGCAAGACCAGUAGCUCGCAAUCGACUCACUUGUACUGUCUCAGCGGCCAAUCCAAAAGCAUGGCGAUGGCAAUUUUGUUUUCUUUGGCUUGUCGCCAUAGCUGUUGUGCAUUACUUGUACUGAGAUAUGCCUUGUAAAAUAGUUACACGUGAGUGAUUUGUCUUCAAUGCUGACCUUUUUUCAGUUAAGCUGGUAAA